rfam:Capsicum annuum cultivar Zunla-1 chromosome 5, whole genome shotgun sequence
UAAUGGUGAUGAGAAAAAUUUCUAAGGAUGCCUUUAAAUCUCUCCCAGGCUUGGCAUAGAUUCUCUCUAUCUUUUUGUAUGAAACUCAGGAUCUCACUCCUCAAACA